rnacentral:rRNA from 1 species
UACGUAGGUGGCAAGCGUUGUUCGGAUUUAUUGGGUUUAAAGGGUGCGUAGGCGGCAUUUUAAGUCAGUGGUGAAAUACUUCAGUUUAACUGGAGAGGUGCCAUUGAUACUGGGAUGCUUGAGUACUGAUGAGGUAGGCGGAAUGGACGGUGUAGCGGUGAAAUGCUUAGAUAUCGUCCAGAACACCGAUAGCGAAGGCAGCUUACUAAGGAGUAACUGACGCUGAGGCGCGAAAGCGUGGGGAGCAAACAGG